GCCGGGCGAGGUGGCGGGCGCCUGUAGUCCCAGCUACUCGGGAGGCUGAGGCCGGAGAAUGGCUUGAACCCGGGAGGCGGAGCUUGCAGUGAGCUGAGAUCCGGCCACUGCACUCCAGCCUGGGUUACAGAGCCAGACUCCGUCUCAA
rnacentral:SRP_RNA from 1 species